rnacentral:rRNA from 1 species
AGGUGGUGCAUGGCCGUCGUCAGUUCGUACUGUGAAGCAUCCUGUUAAGUCAGGCAACGAGCGAGACCCACGCCCACAGUUGCCAGCGUACUCUCCGGAGUGACGGGUACACUGUGGGGACCGCCGCUGCUAAAGCGGAGGAAGGAAUGGGCAACGGUAGGUCAGUAUGCCCUGAAUAUCCCGGGCUACACGCGAGCUACAAUGGUUGGUACAAUGGGUAUCUACCCGAAAGGGGACGGGAAUCUCCUAAAACCAAUCUUAGUUCGGAUUGAGGGCUGCAACUCGCCCUCACGAAGCUGGAAUCCGUAGUAAUCGCGUUUCAACAGAACGCGGUGAAUACGUCCCUGCUCCUU